rnacentral:rRNA from 1 species
GAUGAACGCUGGCGGCGUGCCUAAUACAUGCAAGUCGAACGAUGAACCGGGUGCUUGCACUCGGGGAUUAGUGGCGAACGGGUGAGUAACACGUGAGCAACCUGCCCCUGACUCUGGGAUAAGCGCUGGAAACGGCGUCUAAUACUGGAUAUGUCCCGUCACCGCAUGGUGUGCGGGUGGAAAGAUUUUUCGGUUGGGGAUGGGCUCGCGGCCUAUCAGCUUGUUGGUGAGGUAAUGGCUCACCAAGGCGUCGACGGGUAGCCGGCCUGAGAGGGUGACCGGCCACACUGAGACUGAGACACGGCCCAGACUCCUACGGGAGGCAGCAGUGGGGAAUAGUGCACAAUGGGCGGAAGCCUGAUUCAGCAACGCCGCGUGAGGGAUGACGGCCUUCGUGUUGUAAACCUCUUUUAGCAGGGAAGAAGCGAGAGUGACGGUACCUGCAGAAAAAGCACCGGCUAACUACGUGCCAGCCGCCGCCGUAA